GUGGGGAAUAUUGGGCAAUGGGGGCAACCCUGACCCAGCAACGCCGCGUGAGGGAAGAAGGUUUUCGGAUUGUAAACCUCUGUCCUAUGGGAAGAAGGAAGUGACGGUACCAUAGGAGGAAGCCCCGGCUAACUACGUGCCAGCAGCCGCGGUAAUACGUAGGGGGCGAGCGUUGUCCGGAAUUACUGGGCGUAAAGGGUGCGCAGGUGGCCUGACAAGUCAGAUGUGAAAUACCGAUGCUUAACGUCGGGGCUGCAUUUGAAACUAUGAGGCUGGAGUGCAGGAGAGGGAAGCGGAAUUCCUAGUGUAGCGGUGAAAUGCAUAGAUAUUAGGAGGAACACCAGUGGCGAAGGCGGCUUUCUGGACGGUGUCUGACACUGAGGCGCGAAAGCCAGGGGAGCGAACGGGAUUAGAUACCCGGGUAGUCC
rnacentral:rRNA from 1 species